UACGUAGGGUGCGAGCGUUGUCCGGAAUCAUUGGGCGUAAAGGGCUCGUAGGCGGUCCGUCACGUCGGGAGUGAAAACCUGGGGCUCAACCCCAGGCCUGCUUCCGAUACGGGCGGACUAGAGGUAGGCAGGGGAGAGCGGAAUUCCUGGUGUAGCGGUGAAAUGCGCAGAUAUCAGGAGGAACACCGGUGGCGAAGGCGGCUCUCUGGGCCUUACCUGACGCUGAGGAGCGAAAGCGUGGGGAGCAAACAGG
rnacentral:rRNA from 1 species